AUAAUGCAAUAAAAACCAGAUGCUCCGCAGGGCGCAGCUUUAUACGACCGCAGAGGUUGAACCCUGAACGGUUGGGGCAAGUAUGGACACAACAUUCAAGCUGGAUUCAGCUCUAAAUUUGGAUUGUGAUUAAAUAGUUGACACAGCAUAGGUUUCUGACACAGAAUGAAUGUGGUCUAAUGAACUUAAAAAAUUUUUUUGCCUUUGAGCAAUUCACUAUGCUGUUGAAUAUUAAUCCUCUCAAAAAAAUGUUUGAAGAAAUUUUCUUAUUAUUUAUGAAAUC
rnacentral:lncRNA from 1 species